ensembl:snoRNA
GCCGAGACUAGAGUCACAUCCUGAUACUGCACUUGUGCUGGUAUGCUAGCAUUCUUGGAGAGAAUCUGCUGGCCUUGAUUCACUGGUGGGGGCAGCCAGUGCCCCCAUUAGGGCCUCAAUCAGAAACUUGC